rnacentral:rRNA from 1 species
UUUAUGGAGAGUUUGAUCCUGGCUCAGGAUGAACGCUGGCGGCGUGCCUAAUACAUGCAAGUCGAGCGAACGGACGAGAAGCUUGCUUCUCUGAUGUUAGCGGCGGACGGGUGAGUAACACGUGGAUAACCUACCUAUAAGACUGGGAUAACUUCGGGAAACCGGAGCUAAUACCGGAUAAUAUUUUGAACCGCAUGGUUCAAAAGUGAAAGACGGUCUUGCUGUCACUUAUAGAUGGAUCCGCGCUGCAUUAGCUAGUUGGUAAGGUAACGGCUUACCAAGGCAACGAUGCAUAGCCGACCUGAGAGGGUGAUCGGCCACACUGGAACUGAGACACGGUCCAGACUCCUACGGGAGGCAGCAGUAGGGAAUCUUCCGCAAUGGGCGAAAGCCUGACGGAGCAACGCCGCGUGAGUGAUGAAGGUCUUCGGAUCGUAAAACUCUGUUAUUAGGGAAGAACAUAUGUGUAAGUAACUGUGCACAUCUUGACGGUACCUAAUCAGAAAGCCACGGCUAACUACGUGCCAGCAGCCGCGGUAAUACGUAGGUGGCAAGCGUUAUCCGGAAUUAUUGGGCGUAAAGCGCGCGUAGGCGGUUUUUUAAGUCUGAUGUGAAAGCCCACGGCUCAACCGUGGAGGGUCAUUGGAAACUGGAAAACUUGAGUGCAGAAGAGGAAAGUGGAAUUCCAUGUGUAGCGGUGAAAUGCGCAGAGAUAUGGAGGAACACCAGUGGCGAAGGCGACUUUCUGGUCUGUAACUGACGCUGAUGUGCGAAAGCGUGGGGAUCAAACAGGAUUAGAUACCCUGGUAGUCCACGCCGUAAACGAUGAGUGCUAAGUGUUAGGGGGUUUCCGCCCCUUAGUGCUGCAGCUAACGCAUUAAGCACUCCGCCUGGGGAGUACGACCGCAAGGUUGAAACUCAAAGGAAUUGACGGGGACCCGCACAAGCGGUGGAGCAUGUGGUUUAAUUCGAAGCAACGCGAAGAACCUUACCAAAUCUUGACAUCCUUUGACAACUCUAGAGAUAGAGCCUUCCCCUUCGGGGGACAAAGUGACAGGUGGUGCAUGGUUGUCGUCAGCUCGUGUCGUGAGAUGUUGGGUUAAGUCCCGCAACGAGCGCAACCCUUAAGCUUAGUUGCCAUCAUUAAGUUGGGCACUCUAAGUUGACUGCCGGUGACAAACCGGAGGAAGGUGGGGAUGACGUCACACCCCCUCAUGCCCCUUAUGAUUUGGGCUACACACGUGCUACAAUGGACAAUACAAAGGGCAGCGAAACCGCGAGGUCAAGCAAAUCCCAUAAAGUUGUUCUCAGUUCGGAUUGUAGUCUGCAACUCGACUACAUGAAGCUGGAAUCGCUAGUAAUCGUAGAUCAGCAUGCUACGGUGAAUACGUUCCCGGGUCUUGUACACACCGCCCGUCACACCACGAGAGUUUGUAACACCCGAAGCCGGUGGAGUAACCUUUUAGGAGCUAGCCGUCGAAGGUGGGACAAAUGAUUGGGGUGAAGUCGUAACAAGGUAGCCGUAUCGGAAGGUGCGGCUGGAUCACCUCCUUUCU